UGCUCGAGUGGACGGAACGGGUGAAGUAACACGUGAACGUAACCUCGUCCCUUGUACGUUUGGGAAUUAACUUCGAAGGAAACGUGGGGACUAACGUACCGGAGUAGGAGCCUCCUGCUGCAGUGGUGGGGGUUGGAAAGUUUCGGCGGUUGGGGAUGGACUCGCGGCUUAUCAGCUUGUUGGUGGGUAUGCUUACCAAGGCUUUGACGGGUAGCCGGCCUGAGAGGGUGACCGGCCACAUUGGGACUGAGAUACGGCCCAG
rnacentral:rRNA from 1 species